rnacentral:rRNA from 1 species
AUUGAACGCUGGCGGCAGGCUUAACACAUGCAAGUCGAACGAGUGGCGGACGGGUGAGUAAUGCUUGGGAAUCUGGCUUAUGGAGGGGGAUAACGACGGGAAACUUUCGCUAAUACCGCGUACCAUAGGAUUAGCCCACGUGGGAUUAGGUAGGUGGUGGGGAAAUGGUCUACCAAGCCGACGAUACCGAGCUGGUCUGAGAGGAUGACCAGCCACACUGGAACUGAGACACGGUCCAGACUCCUACGGGAGGCAGCAGUGGGGAAUAUUGCACAAUGUGCGCAAGCCUGAUGCAGCCAUGCCGCGUGUAUGAAGAAGGCCUUCGGGUUGUAAAGUACUUUCAGCGGGGAGGCGUUACCCGCAGAAGAAGCACCGGCUAACUCCGUGCCAGCAGCCGCGGUAAUUC